GCGACUCAUCCGUAACUCGCGCUACAGCGAUAACGCCGAAAAAUUUACAACGCGAAUUGACAUAAUUGUUAAUAACUCCACUUGUAGGCAUCGUGGCGACUUGAAACAAAGACCACGAGAAGCAGAAAAUUAUCGCGCUUACGGUGACUGUGAAAUCGUCUUUCUGCGGAAUAAGAAUCAAACCGCGUAAUCAUGCUCAAGUUGGAACAGAUGCAAUUCGGAAUGGACGAACUGGAGUGAGUUGUAUAUAAUUAUGAACCUGCAGCAGUUUGCGGAUGAAUAAAUGGACUUUAUACUCAAGAAACGAGGUAUUUAUGGCGUCGUGUCGAUUAUUGAAGCGCGGGCAGAGCCACUCGUUUGCGCGCGGCGCGCAAACGCGUCAGUUCGAACGAAUGCAACUUGAAACGGACGAGCGCGCAAUUCCACGCAAUUGCGAGUCUGCAGCAGUUUUCGGGUAAACGGAUGGCCUUUGUACCCAAGAAACGAGAUGUGUCUAUUCCAGUCCAUCCCCGUGUAUUAUCGGAGAAAGCAGUGCGAGGGCGAGCGUAUUUCGACGCGGAGGCGAGAAAUCGACGAGCACAAGUCCGCUGCCCCGUAUUUCAUAACUGUUCCAGCGCGGUGUUGAAGAUCUAUGGCACAGUUGUGGCCGCGCCGAGAAGGCAGCUGGAGUUCCGGUGAAUGAGGAUGCAUUACCGGAGGAUCCGGUUCGGGCGGAGAAAGGUUCGACUUGAAGAACUGUGAGCAGAACGUGGUCGACACCUUUCGGUGAGUAAGAAAAAUGGGUUUAAAAUUUGAAAGGUGAUGGGUUUUUAUAAAAAUUGUUCGACAAUACAAAUCAAUGCGAUUUACCGUAGUGACUUUUUGCAUGCCAUUAUAUUAAAUGUAUAGUUCAAAACAAUUAGGAAAUCGUUCGUUCAAGUGUUUGUGUUUCAUAUUUGGAGCACAUUGUGGAAUACUUUCCUCUUUUUCUCUUAAUAUAUCUUAUUUAUAUACUCAAUAAUCGUAUCUAUUUAAAUUUGUAAUAUUUCUAAAUAAUAGAAAGCUCCUCGAAUAGAUUAACUA